rnacentral:rRNA from 1 species
UUGUUGCAGUUAAAAAGCUCGUAGUUGGACCUUGGGCAGGAGGCACGGGUUGGCCGAAUGGCUCGACUCGGGUCUCCGGCCUCUAUGGGUGGUCGUGCCUUUGGUACGGUUCGCCCGGGUUACUGUGAAGAAAUUAGAGUGUUUAAAGCAGGCGAUUGCUUGGAUACAUCAGCAUGGAAUAACAAGAUAGGACCUGGUUCCACUUGUUGGUUUGGGGGCUUUGGUAAUGAUUAAUAGGGCCAGUUGGGGGCAUUAGUAUUCAGUAGUCAGAGGUGAAAUUCUUGGAUUUACUGAAGACUAACUAGUGCGAAAGCAGUUGCCAAGGAUGUUUUCAUUAAUCAAGAACGAAAGUUAGGGGAUCGAAGACGAUCAGAUACCGUCGUAGUCUUAACUAUAAACGAUGCCGACUCGGGAUCGGCAGACGUCGUUAGCGACACUGUCGGCACCGUGUGAGAAAUCAAAGUUUUUGGGUUCUGGGGGGAGUAUGGUCGCAAGGCUGAAACUUAAAGGAAUUGACGGAAGGGCACCACCAGGAGUGGAGCCUGCGGCUUAAUUUGACUCAACACGGGAAAACUCACCAGGUCCGGACAUAGUAAGGAUUGACAGAUUGAGAGCUCUUUCUU